rnacentral:rRNA from 1 species
UACGGGGGGGGUAAGCGUUGUUCGGAAUUACUGGGCGUAAAGGGCUCGUAGGCGGCCAACUAAGUCAGACGUGAAAUCCCUCAGCUUAACUGGGGAACUGCGUCUGAUACUGGAUGGCUUGGAUCCGGGAGAGGGAUGCGGAAUUCCAGGUGUAGCGGUGAAAUGCGUAGAUAUCUGGAGGAAUACCGGUGGCGAAGGCGGCAUCCUGGACCGGCAUUGACGCUGAGGAGCGAAAGCCAGGGGAGCAAACGGG